AGAAACUCAAAAAACCGACUUAUCAUCUAGAAACUUGUCGAUAGAGUUUGUAGAAAAAAUAUAUAUAUUAAAAAUUUCCCACCCCAAUUGUAGAGAAGAUUUAUUAUAUAAUUGUUAUUUUGUAAAUAUUAUUAUACAAGAGGAUAUCUAUGUCCAUUUGUAUUUUUUAAUUUCCCAUCCUUUGAGAUGGGAAAGUACUUUCCCCUGUGCAUGGAAAAUAGAGUUGGGAUCCAUAGAUUUAGGAAUUGAGCUUUCCUAAGAAUGUAACAUUCCCAUAAAAACCAAACACUAGACAUUUACAUUCGUGGUCACUUUCCUGGCAGAUUUUGGCAACAAAACACCUCCCAAGAAAGAAAUGAGAAAAGGGGAAAAACAUGACCAGCACUAUUUGAACAAGAUCUCAAACGAACUUGAACUCAAUGACAAAUAAGGGUUAAAUAAAAAAAAGGAUCAAUUCCCAGCGCUCAAGCCAUUCCCCAGUACAUGUUGUAA
rnacentral:misc_RNA from 1 species